AUGGAAGAUGGGAUCAUUGGAAUGGCGGUUGGUGGUGUUUUGGGUGAAGGUAAGAGAAUGAAUUACUUGAGGAGGGAUGAGGUGGCUGGUGGUGAAGGAGGAGCUUUGUAGAAGAAUCUAGACUUGUUUUGAUGGUGAAAAGCAGAUCAGGGGGGAUAGGCAUACCAGAGAUCAUGUAUUUGUAAACAAGUGCUUGAUGUUCAAGUUCUUGCCAUUGAGUGGCUGUGAAGGGAUACCUUCCACUAUGAUUCCUUACACCUUCACCUGCUGUUGUACUCAUCAUCUUGAUUCUUGAGAAUUUGGUUGCCCAGGCUGAAAUUAACCUCAAAAAAGAGAAAAAAGAAGAAGAAGUUGAAUUUGGGUGCUUGAGGGGUAAAGACAGAUAAAGAAAUUGAAAAGCAGAACAAACCCUUUAUUAUAGAGAUGGUGUGUGUCUUGUGCAGACUGCAAACACUGAUGCAUCUGCUGCAACUAUGCUGCCUUUAUGGCAGCUAUUGUCUCUGACAAAAUUUAUACGGAAACCCAUGAUAAUGGGCAGGCUCAAGAGAGAGAGUGUGAAUGUGUGUGUAUUUAAAAAAAGAAAAUAAUAAUAAUAAUAAUAAGAGUGUGUGUGUGUGAGAGGAGAGAGUUGGUAUCUGAAACCACAGCAGCACAGGGUGACAGACAAAAGUGGCAGUGGCCAUGAUCAUGAGAGAAGUGUGUACGGUUUUUUGCAUACUUUUUACUUUUACUUUUUUCAUCUCUGUGAAUAGUAAAUGGUAAGACAAUAUGUUUUGGGUUAAUAUCAAUCACUACUGUGCACGUGAAUGGAAGGUAAGUAUGUAUUUGAUCC
rnacentral:lncRNA from 1 species